rnacentral:rRNA from 1 species
AAACUAGGAUUAGAUACCCUAUUAUAUUAAAGUUAAAUUUAUAAAUACUGAAUUAUUAAUAGAUAUUUCUUAAAAUUUAAAGAAUUUGGCGGUAAUUUAGUCUUGUCAGAGGAACCUGUUUUUUAAUCGAUACACCACGUUAUAUCUUACUUAUUUUAAGUAGUUUGUAUACCAUCAUUAGUAGAUAAUUUUAAAAGAACAAAUUAUUAAAAUUAAAAUAUAUUAAAAAAAUUAGAUCAAGGUGCAGCUAAUAGAUAAGUUAAAAUGGGUUACAAUAAAAUUUAUUUAUACGAAAUAAUUUAAAAAAAUUAAAUUAUAAAGGUGGAUUUGAUUGUAAUAUAAGCUUAAUAAACUUAUAAGAUAUAAGCUCUAAAUUAUGUACACAUCGCCCGUCACUCUCAUA